rnacentral:rRNA from 1 species
GACGAACGCUGGCGGCGUGCCUAAUACAUGCAAGUCGAACGCAGUGGGGACGGGUGAGUAACACGUGGGUAACCUCCCAUCAGAGGGGAUAACACUUGGAAACAGGUGCUAAACCGAUACUGAUGGAUGGACCCGCGGUGCAUUAGCUAGUUGGUGAGGUAACGGCUCACCAAGGCCACGAUGCAUAGCCGACCGGGAAGGGUGAUCGGCCACACUGGGACUGAGACACGGCCCAGCCUCCUACGGAAGGCGGCAGUGGGGAAUCUUCGGCAAUGGACGAAAGUCUGACCGGGCAACGCCGCGUGGGUAAAGAAGUUUUUCGGAUCGUAAAACUCUGUUGUUCGAUAAGCGGUAUCUAACCAGAAAGCCACGGCUAACUACGUGCCAGCAGCCGCGGUAAUAC